rnacentral:rRNA from 1 species
AUUGAACGCUGGCGGCAGGCCUAACACAUGCAAGUCGAGCGGAUGACGGGAGCUUGCUCCUUGAUUCAGCGGCGGACGGGUGAGUAAUGCCUAGGAAUCUGCCUGGUAGUGGGGGACAACGUUUCGAAAGGAACGCUAAUACCGCAUACGUCCUACGGGAGAAAGCAGGGGACCUUCGGGCCUUGCGCUAUCAGAUGAGCCUAGGUCGGAUUAGCUAGUAGGUGAGGGAAUGGCUUACCUAGGCGACGAUCCGUAACUGGUCUGAGAGGAGGAUCAGUCACACUGAACCGAAGAGAUAAUCCAGAUUCCUAGCGGAGGCGGCAGUUGGGAAUAUUGGAAAAUGGGCGAAAGCCUGAUCCAGCCAUGCUGCGUGUGGGAAGAAGGUCUUCGGAUUGUAAAGCACUUUAAGUUGGGAGGAAGGGCAGUAAGCUAAUACCUUGCUGUUUUGACGUUACCGACAGAAUAGGCACCGGCUAACUCUGUGCCAGCCGCCGCGGUAACAC